rnacentral:rRNA from 1 species
UACAGAGGGGGCAAGCGUUGUUCGGAAUUACUGGGCGUAAAGCGCGUGUAGGCGGUCCGGUAAGUCCGCUGUGAAAGUCGGGGGGCUCAACCCUCGGAUGCCGGUGGAUACUGUCGGGCUUGAGUACGGAAGAGGCGAGUGGAAUUCCUGGUGUAGCGGUGAAAUGCGCAGAUAUCAGGAGGAACACCAAUGGCGAAGGCAGCUCGCUGGGACGGUACUGACGCUGAGACGCGAAAGCGUGGGGAGCAAACAGG